UACGUAGGGUGCAAGCGUUAAUCGGAAUUACUGGGCGUAAAGCGUGCGCAGGCGGUGAUGUAAGACAGGUGUGAAAUCCCCGGGCUUAACCUGGGAACUGCAUUUGUGACUGCAUCGCUGGAGUGUGGCAGAGGGGGAUGGAAUUCCGCGUGUAGCAGUGAAAUGCGUAGAUAUGCGGAGGAACACCGAUGGCGAAGGCAAUCCCCUGGGCCUGCACUGACGCUCAUGCACGAAAGCGUGGGGAGCAAACAGG
rnacentral:rRNA from 1 species